AUACGGAGGGUGCAAGCGUUGUCCGGAUUUAUUGGGUUUAAAGGGUGCGUAGGUGGUUUUUUAAGUCAGUGGUGAAAGCCUACAGCUUAACUGUAGUGGUGCCAUUGAUACUGGGGAACUUGAGUAUGGACGAGGUAGGCGGAAUUUGUGGUGUAGCGGUGAAAUGCAUAGAUACCACAAGGAACACCGAUAGCGAAGGCAGCUUACUGGGCCAUAACUGACACUGAGGCACGAAAGCGUGGGGAGCGAACAGGAUUAGAAACCCUAGUAGUCC
rnacentral:rRNA from 1 species